rnacentral:rRNA from 1 species
AGAAUGAACGCUGGCGGCAUGCCUAACACAUGCAAGUCGAACGAAUACCCUUCGGGGUGUUAGUGGCGCACGGGUGCGUAACGCGUGGGAAUCUACCCUUGGGUUCGGAAUAACAGUUAGAAAUGACUGCUAAUACCGGAUGAUGACGUAAGUCCAAAGAUUUAUCGCCCAGGGAUGAGCCCGCGUAGGAUUAGCUAGUUGGUGUGGUAAAGGCGCACCAAGGCGACGAUCCUUAGCUGGUCUGAGAGGAUGAUCAGCCACACUGGGACUGAGACACGGCCCAGACUCCUACGGGAGGCAGCAGUGGGGAAUCUUGCGCAAUGGGCGAAAGCCUGACGCAGCAACGCCGCGUGAGGGACGAAGGCCUUCUGGGUUGUAAACCUCUUUCAGCAGGGACGAUGAUGACGGUACCUGCAGAAGAAGCCCGGCACUACGCGCCAGCAGCCGC